AACGAACGCUGGCGGCAUGCCUAACACAUGCAAGUCGAACGCCCUCUUCGGAGGGAGUGGCGCACGGGUGCGUAACGCGUGGGAACCUGCCCUUAGGUUCGGAAUAACUCAGAGAAAUUUGAGCUAAUACCGGAUAAUGUCUUCGGACCAAAGAUUUAUCGCCUUUGGAUGGGCCGCGUUGGAUUAGCUAGUUGGUGGGGUAAAGGCCUACCAAGGCGACGAUCCAUAGCUGGUCUGAGAGGAUGAUCAGCCACACUGGGACUGAGACACGGCCCAGACUCCUACGGGAGGCAGCAGUGGGGAAUAUUGGACAAUGGGCGAAAGCCUGAUCCAGCAAUGCCGCGUGAGUGAUGAAGGCCUUAGGGUUGUAAAGCUCUUUUACUGGGGAUGGUAAUGACAGUACCUGGAGAAUAAGCUCAGCUAACUCCGUGCCAGCAGCCGCGGUAAU
rnacentral:rRNA from 1 species